GCCGCGGAGCACGGGAGUCAGCAACACAGACAGAGAGAGAGAAAGAGAGUGACAUUGGGGGGGGGAAGAGCUGGACUAAGACAGACGACUAACUGGAGACGUGUGGGAGAGAAAGGAGGAGAGAAAAGAGGUGUGUGGAUGGGAGGAAGAGCUGAGAAAGGAGUGGAGAGUGAAAAAGAGAUGGACGGAAGAACUGCUAUACCCUUCUUCUCUCAUCCAAUGAAGAACUGAAUCACAUGCUCUUUAAUGACCCAGAGAGACACAGAGACCAGUAACUCAUCUCUCCACUCAGAUAUAAGACUGCCUCCCCCAACUGUGAUGUCACAGAGUGGCUCCUUCUCUUCCAGCUCCUCUGGGGGCUGAGCCGGGGCUAUGGGUAGAAGGGUGGCUGAUCCGACCAAUCCAGUGCCUGCGCUCGGGGUGCCCCUGGCGGGGGUGCGAUGGGGUCCGCUGUGCAGCGUGGGGGUGCAGACCUCCCCUGGCCUUAGGACCCUCCCGUCAAUCAAACUCAACCAGCCAACCAGUACGCAGCACCCAGAGACAAGGAGUAACAACCAUGUCACCACGGUAUUGACCAUGCCCUCGGAAACUGUUUUUUCGUGUAACUCGUGCAGCAGUGGCGGCAGCGGUGGUUUUGCCGUUUCCAAGGAGAGGAGUCAGAAUGCGAUCAACAGUCUGACACAGGACGACAUGGGGUCACAGGGGUCAGGGGGCGGGGUCUACUGUCAGAUCAAAACCAUAAGGACCAAUCCCAGGGAGUCUGGUCACAGGUCCAGCGGGAAACGGACGUCUCGAUACACCAAUGGGAGUGUGGUUGCCCCUGAGGUGGUGGGUGGGGUAUGUACUGAGGGUGCCGAGGGGAACGAGCCAAUCAGAGAGAGGAGGAGGGUUCAGUCUCUGAGAGGGGAGGAGUCUCGCCCUGUGCUGAGGUCGGGGAGUGUGUCUCAUUCUGUGAGCUCUCACGCCACGCCUCCAAGGCCCUGUAGAAUGAUGACAUCAUCGCCCCGUCUCUGUGGAACCUGCGGGCGGAGACAGUCCCAGGCCCCACCCACUUGCAUGGCAACUGCAUGCCGCAGGCGAGCGGCCAACAAGAUCACAGAAAGCCAGACCCUCCCGAAUCCUCCCAGGAAACAGUCCGUACUCCUCAACCAGAACCGGAAAGACUCCCCUGUACUGAACACACACACACCACCAACCACACACAAAGCUGUGAAGAACACUCAAACACAAACUCAGACAUUGCCCUCUCCACACACAACCCAAAAGACACACACGCUCACGAAAGAUUCACCUGUGCCCACAUGCUCCAACACUAAGGAUGCACAGCACACACAUACAGACCCAGAACCCAGUUUACCCAGGUUACAUCAGAAAGAAACACACACACAGACAGCAGACACACACUCACACACCACAGAGAAACACACAUCUAGGCCAAAUAAAUCCACACGAAAUACUCCAGCUACACAGCCUUUACCGGACAAAAACACAGAGACGUCAUCUGACAACCAACACACACCGCCAAACUCAUCGACACAAGUCACCCCCAAGCCACCACCCCCCAGUCCUCCUCAUAGGCAAAAAAUCCUCGGCCUCUGCCCCUCUCCCACCUAAAAGCUCCCCCAACCCCUACCACACUGUCCAGGUGAACCCAAAACCAGCACCGCCUGUCCUUCAGACCCAACCCAAACAUACACCCCUCACCCCCUCCCGGCUCUCCAAAAUACCACCAGCACAACCAAUCAAAAAAGAAGACUCCAAAACCCCUGGCCAAUCAAAAGAUGCAAAUGCUCUGCAUGCUGCCCAUGUGGCCCCACAGUGCAAUGGGGCACCAGGAGGUAUGGCGGGGUUACCAGGUAGGGUACAGGGGUGUGUGUCGGGGGGGCCUCCAUGGGCAUCUUCACAGCGUGGAAGAGAGUCUGCUCUCCAACCAGGAGAAGAUCAAAGUCCUCCUCAAUGUUAUCCAAGACCUGGAGAAAAGCAAGGCCCUCAGCGAAGGGCGGUGCUCUUACAGAACUGGACAGGAUAUCAACAACUGCCCCACCUGUCAGAAGACUGCCUGCAUCAUAUACAGUGUGGAGCAUGACUUCAGACAGCAAGAGGGGAGGUUCCAGCCAGUGAUGGAAACUCUAGAUGGGGUUUACGAUGUCCCCCUCCCUGUCCCCAAACCUCCCACCUCCCGCCCCAGCGCCAAGGCCCGUGUCAAGAAGCUACGCAAGAAGUGUUUCUGGUGGCUAUAGAUACACAUCCGUCGCCGGGGGUACAGUCGCCAUGGAGAAGUUGCGGGCUGCUGUUACCAAGGGGGUUGGACAGGUGUGUGUUGAUGGACCAUGGCGACUGUUCCUGUGUCUUUGAUGUUGCUAUAUGAACUGUACAUCUAUUAUGGUAGCUGAGCUACAGAGAUGCUACACCUUAGAAACAGUUGGAGUGUGGAUAACAUGGAGAGCAAUAAGUUACCAUGGACAACUCUAUGAGGUGUGGACCAACUGAUAGAGUUCAAGUCUUGGGAUCACUGGUUACUGGAUUUUGAAGAGACACUAAACUGAGUGACUUUGUCCCUGACCAACAGAGUUACUGUGCUACUGUGCUAGGUUGGACACAUAAGGGACACGGUUUAAGAGUGUCUAGUGGUGACUCUGUUAGGUCAAAGGUCCCAGUGCUUGAACAUAGAUGAGCACCUAUUCACAUUCCACGACCUACAGAGUGACCAGUCCAUCUACAAUCCCUUCAGAGAGUGACAGGCCACGUAACCAAUCAACACACGCUUCCACCAGGAUUCUCCCGCAAUACGCAAAACAAAAAAGUUACUGAGUCAUACUCAGCACAAACAAUAUACACACACAGUAUAGCACUAAACACAUCACUUACACACACACAAGUGCACGCACACACACUACAAUUAUAUCCACUCUACACUAUGAGCUUUCAUUCAUUUCAUUCCACAGCGCUAUUGGCUAAAACACCAGCUCAACCAAUAAUAAUCUCAACCUUUCCUUCCAAGACCACACCCUAUUUACUGUUUAACCAAUAAUCAGCCCCGGUCCCUAACCUGCCACAUCAGUGCUUUUUAAUAGAUCGCUCUUCCCAUCUCCAUGUGUGAUCUCCCACAAUGCUUUUCUCUUCCUUUUCCUCUCGCUGUGUUGUUUGCAAUAGUUAUAUUGGGAUCCAAUAAAAGUGUGUAUUUUAAACAGAGCAGAUCAUUUCCUGCUAAAGCACUAUUGACCACCACCAUUCAGGAUGAAGCUGUGGCACUAUGGAGGAAUGGUCAAAGUGGAUGGAGGGCUAUACGAGGGCUACAACGUGGUAUUUCAAAGGGUAGAAUAAAGGUCACGAAACUGAAAGAAAGUCUACAGACUGAAACAAUCAGUAGUUUCCCAAAUACUUCCUGUGUUUUAGACCCUCCUAUAGGGGGGGGGGGGUAAACACUAAGUGAACAACUCCAUCAUUUCUAGCCAGAACCCAAUUUUAAGCCGUGGCCCAAACUGAAUUGGCCACAACCCACCAGCAGGACACAAAUAACAAUUUGUGAAACACUAAAAGGACUGAAGAGAAGGAUUUAGAAAGCAGCCAGUGUGGCGGCACUCUGCGAUCGAAGAGCAGUGGGGAGCAGUACUUUCCAUGGAGGGGCCACAUUAGAAUAUAUUAUUGCCAUCGCGGGCCAGAACCAUUUUACAGGGUUAAACAUCAUGUGUAUGACUGUGUUGACAGAUAUAGCUACUGUAAAUCACAUCCAGAUAUGCUACUUAUUUGACUUUUUAACAUGUACAGAAAUAAACCACUUCCAU